rnacentral:rRNA from 1 species
UACGUAGGGGGCUAGCGUUGUCCGGAAUCACUGGGCGUAAAGCGCACGUAGGCGGCUUUCUAAGUCAGGGGUGAAAUCCUGGAGCUCAACUCCAGAACUGCCUUUGAUACUGGAGAGCUUGAGUCCGGGAGAGGUGAGUGGAACUCCGAGUGUAGAGGUGAAAUUCGUAGAUAUUCGGAAGAACACCAGUGGCGAAGGCGGCUCACUGGCCCGGUACUGACGCUGAUGUGCGAAAGCGUGGGGAGCAAACAGG